GUGUCGUUGGAAUUCACUUCUGUGCGGACUUGAUACUCUACCUACGACGACGAUCAUCAUCAAACUUCAUCAGUAGCAGCAGCAAACACCAGCUUAGCUGAGCUUAGAGCUUAGCUGAAUUGGUUCGUUCGGCUUGGAUGCCCCAAAAGUUCCCAGAGUGGCCAGUGCUAGUGAAUAGUGUGGACACGGACUCUGCUGAAUGUGCGAUUGAUUGCCAUUAAAUGGAUUACGGCGAUUGAAUUUCAGUUCAAUUGAUUAGACUUUCUACUGGCGUUUGGAAUGCAUUUAAUCAGUUUCGGUUCGAGGCUCAUUUUUCGGCUCGGUUUGGUUUUUCCACCAGUAUCAAAGUGCUAAUGAUAUGAGCUGGAGGAAAGUAAGGGUGACAUAUGAAAUAAGUGCUUCUCUAUUUUAGUGUGUGCUUCUAAUUGAAGUUAAUUGGAAGUUUGACUUUUGUGCGCUCUACAUUCGAUUGCGAUACAGAUAGAAUAGUGGCGAAGAGCGCCCAACUAAAGUGGUUCUAACAAACCGAGGGCACCCAUGAUGAUGAUUGGGUAAAUUUGGAUUCUUGUGUGCAAAGUGUGAGGCAGUUGUUUCUGUAUUCUGCUGCCGUAGGGACUGUCAGCUGGAAGUAAGUGAAAAAAAAGACGAUUGCAGGCACUUGUUAAGUUAAGAAUUCCAACCGGAGCAAAAAGCGAAUACCGAACAAACGAGAGACAGUCACAUUCCUUUCGAGUGGUGACAUUGGCGUACACGCAUCCACACCAAUAUGGGAAGAUAUAUUCCUCGCACGGAUCUAGGCCACUCGUCGCUGCUGACAGGGCACGGUGAAAAAGACUAUAAACACGUGUUUCCCGUUCUUUUAAAGUCUUCAGAGCGUGAGGAAGCGAACAACCGCUGUCUUGUUGCUGGCAGCACUGGAGCAGCUCUAUCACCAUCAGCUGUGCACGAACUGAUACGGGCUUAUGUUGGAAAUAAACCCUCAUGAAAACAACUGAACGAUUCAAGGAAUUUAAGGCGAUGCUGACAGUUGGGGUUUUUUUCUGUUCGGUGUUUCCGAUUUGAUUGCUUGAGAUCGACUAACAUGCUGCUGAGGAAUCGCUCAAGUUGUUGUAAUCAGCUGACCGAAAUUUUCGAGCAACU